GACGUAGGGCGCGAGCGUUGUCCGGAUUUAUUGGGCGUAAAGAGCUCGUAGGCGGCCUGUCGCGUCGACCGUGAAAACCCGCAGCUCAACUGCGGGCUUGCGGUCGAUACGGGCAGGCUCGAGUUCGGUAGGGGAGACUGGAAUUCCUGGUGUAGCGGUGAAAUGCGCAGAUAUCAGGAGGAACACCGGUGGCGAAGGCGGGUCUCUGGGCCGAUACUGACGCUGAGGAGCGAAAGCGUGGGGAGCGAACAGG
rnacentral:rRNA from 1 species